rnacentral:piRNA from 1 species
UUUCAAAAGGUAGCCUAUCAAAA